rnacentral:rRNA from 1 species
CUCAGGAUGAACGCUAGCUACAGGCUUAACACAUGCAAGUCGAGGGGCAGCAUUUUAGUUUGCUUGCAAACUGAAGAUGGCGACCGGCGCACGGGUGAGUAACACGUAUCCAACCUGCCGAUAACUCCGGGAUAGCCUUUCGAAAGAAAGAUUAAUACCGGAUGGCAUACGAAUAUCGCAUGAUAUUUUUAUUAAAGAAUUUCGGUUAUCGAUGGGGAUGCGUUCCAUUAGUUUGUUGGCGGGGUAACGGCCCACCAAGACUACGAUGGAUAGGGGUUCUGAGAGGAAGGUCCCCCACAUUGGAACUGAGACACGGUCCAAACUCCUACGGGAGGCAGCAGUGAGGAAUAUUGGUCAAUGGGCGAGAGCCUGAACCAGCCAAGUAGCGUGAAGGAUGAAGGCUCUAUGGGUCGUAAACUUCUUUUAUAUGGGAAUAAAGUUUUCCACGUGUGGAAUUUUGUAUGUACCAUAUGAAUAAGGAUCGGCUAACUCCGUGCCAGCAGCCGCGGUAAUACGGAGGAUCCGAGCGUUAUCCGGAUUUAUUGGGUUUAAAGGGAGCGUAGGUGGAUUGUUAAGUCAGUUGUGAAAGUUUGCGGCUCAACCGUAAAAUUGCAGUUGAAACUGGGAGUCUUGAGUACAGUAGAGGUGGGCGGAAUUCGUGGUGUAGCGGUGAAAUGCUUAGAUAUCACGAAGAACUCCGAUUGCGAAGGCAGCUCACUAGACUGUCACUGACACUGAUGCUCGAAAGUGUGGGUAUCAAACAGGAUUAGAUACCCUGGUAGUCCACACAGUAGACGAUGAAUACUCGCUGUUUGCGAUAUACAGUAAGCGGCCAAGCGAAAGCAUUAAGUAUUCCACCUGGGGAGUACGCCGGCAACGGUGAAACUCAAAGGAAUUGACGGGGGCCCGCACAAGCGGAGGAACAUGUGGUUUAAUUCGAUGAUACGCGAGGAACCUUACCCGGGCUUAAAUUGCAACAGAAUAUAUUGGAAACAGUAUAGCCGUAAGGCUGUUGUGAAGGUGCUGCAUGGUUGUCGUCAGCUCGUGCCGUGAGGUGUCGGCUUAAGUGCCAUAACGAGCGCAACCCUUAUCUUUAGUUACUAACAGGUCAUGCUGAGGACUCUAGAGAGACUGCCGUCGUAAGAUGUGAGGAAGGUGGGGAUGACGUCAAAUCAGCACGGCCCUUACGUCCGGGGCUACACACGUGUUACAAUGGGGGGUACAGAAGGCGGCUACCUGGUGACAGGAUGCUAAUCCCAAAAACCUCUCUCAGUUCGGAUCGAAGUCUGCAACCCGACUUCGUGAAGCUGGAUUCGCUAGUAAUCGCGCAUCAGCCAUGGCGCGGUGAAUACGUUCCCGGGCCUUGUACACACCGCCCGUCAAGCCAUGAAAGCCGGGGGUACCUGAAGUACGUAACCGCAAGGAGCGUCCUAGGGUAAAACUG